rnacentral:rRNA from 1 species
GAUGAACGCUGGCGGCGUGCCUAAUACAUGCAAGUCGAACGGGGUGUUUGAGCAAUCGGACACUUAGUGGCGAACGGGUGAGUAACGCGUUGGUGACCUGCCCCAAAGCGGGGGAUAACAGCCUGAAAGGGUUGCUAAUACCGCAUAUGAUGAUGAGAGACUAGAAACUUAUCAUUAAAGGAGAAAUCCACUUUGGGAGGGGCCUGCGUCCCAUCAGCUAGUUGGUAGGGUAAAAGCCUACCAAGGCGAAGACGGGUAGGGGACCUGAGAGGGUGACCCCCCACAAUGGAACUGAAACACGGUCCAUACACCUACGGGUGGCAGCAGUAGGGGAUAUUGCACAAUGGGCGGAAGCCUGAUGCAGCAACGCCGCGUGAGUGAUGAAGGCCCUCGGGUCGUAAAACUCUUUUCAAGAGGAAGAGGAAGGACGGUACUCUUGGAAUAAGCCUCGGCUAACUACGUGCCAGCAGCCGCGGUAACACGUAGGAGGCGAGCGUUAUUCGGAUUUACUGGGCGUAAAGCGCGUGUAGGCGGCUGAUCAAGUUGGAUGUGAAAGCUCCCGGCUUAACUGGGAGAGGACGUUCAAAACUGAACAGCUUGAGUAUGAGAGAGGAAAAUGGAAUUCCGGGUGUAGUGGUGAAAUGCGUUGAUAUCCGGAGGAACACCAGUGGCGAAGGCGAUUUUCUGGCUCAAGACUGACGCUCAGACGCGAAAGCUAGGGUAGCAAACGGGAUUAGAGACCCCGGUAGUCCUAGCUGUAAACGAUGUAGACUUGGCGUUGGGGGAGUAAAAUCCUUCAGUGCCGCAGCAAACGCGAUAAGUCUACCGCCUGGGGACUACGGCCGCAAGGUUAAAACUCAAAGGAAUUGACGGGGCCCCGCACAAGCAGCGGAGCGUGUGUUUUAUUUCGAUGCUACACGAAGAACCUUACCAGGGUUUG